rnacentral:lncRNA from 1 species
GCCGAGAGGAAGUGCAGGUGCCUUGACGUGACGGGGAGGGACUCGCCCCCCGUGCCUGUGUUUACAGACUGCUGGUUUCCCCGGGCUCUGACCUGCCUCGUCCAGAAAGCCCAGCAAGAGCGUUGAACUCCUGCUUUCUGCAGGUUCUGCUGGGAGCGGCUCCUCUGGGGUGUGAAGCGGGCAGAGGAGGAUGAGGAGGGAGCCGUGAGCAGAGCCUAGGAGGAGCCUUCCGGGGGCUUCCAGAAGCUGGGGACGGCUGAGACCUGGGUUUGAGGAAGAGCCAGAAGGGAGAAACAUGGAAAACAACCACGGCCAACCGAGUGGGUGCAGCCCGCACGCAGGUGCCCCCCCAUAACCGAUGCACUGCGUUGACUCCAGAGGCAGGUGCCCUGGAGCUGCCAGGAGGUGGGCGACACACACGUGCCCGACCGACACCUGG